UGUCCCGCCUUUAUGUCGGCGCUUCGUGGAGGCGCGUAGUUGCUGGGCUGUGGACAGCAUCCAGGAGGCUCCCCGGGCCCGCGGAAACGGGAGUAGGGUAGGUACGAGAGCUUGGGAAGUCCAGCCGCUGUGCCUUGUACACCCCAUGACCGCAGCGAACGUCCCGCCUCCCCGAGCUCGUGUGUCCUCGGCUGUCGGGGAACCGCCUGGCGCCGGGGUUCCCUGCGGAUACCUCCGUCAAGGGCCGUCUGUGUCCGUGGCCGCCCCGUAGUCGUCGCCCUGUGCGUUGUGUCCGCUUUAUGGAGAAGAAGACCCAGGCUCAAAAGCCAGCCAUUCCGAGGUCUUGACUCAUUAUGUAGCUGGACUGCGGGCGUCAUAAGCGAGCCGAUCGACUAGGCACGGAUGAGGUAGUCUCCUGACCUCCACCUGGCUGGACUCCGAGCCCCAGUGCCCCAAGUUCCUGACUCAGCCUCAGGCCUGGGUGUUCAGGACAGUGGAACGUUCACAGGUCGGGGGGGUCUCCCUUUCAGAAUCCAGUGUGAUAAAACGUGGAGCGUGCAGGCGGAGGAAUGUGCAUGUGCGAAGACUCGGAGUGCGGUCACCCAACUUGAACAUCGAAAGGGGACCUGGCUGGUGGACAAGGUGUCUAGAAUCAGUUCAUGACCAGAGAGACCCAUGGAAGACCAGUCCUGGUGAGUGCAAGACAGGUGUGGAAGGGCCUGUGGCAGUGGGCUCAUCUCUUACCUGGUACCUGACCUGUGUCUUCUGUUGCCCUGGUAUCAAUGUCCUCCAUCAUUGGCCUCCCCUUCACAUAUCCUUAAAUAGUUCUUGAAAACCUGUUCUUCCAUGAGCCUGACUUGUUCCCUCUGAGGAAGGUGGGCAACAGUGUCAGGGGUCCCAGGCCUGGACUCCCCUCACUGCACAGCAUCUGUCUGUCACCAGACACUGAGGCCCUGCCAGCUCCACAUUCUGCAGAAUCCACAGAGAACUGACGCUGAAAGAGACACCUGAUCAAUGCACAGCAAAUGGAGAGGUGUUCAAGGAGAGGUGUUCCCUUUUCUACCACCAAAAAAAACUUAAGAAUGGGAAAAAAAAAUCCCAAGUGCAUUUUGAAGGCCUUCACCUUUGUCUCCAUCCUGAGAAAGCAGGAGUACGUUCACACCUUUGAAUGUUACAUGAGAAAGCCUCCAGCCAGACCUCUAUUUCCAUUGAGCACCAAAUUAUUUGCCCCAUAGAAAGCCCUUAUGAGGGCAGGAAGUGUGGCCCAAAAGUUUGAGCAAAAUUUUGCACUUCCCCCUCUACCAAAGCAUUCACACUGAUAAAGGACUCACAAGUGUGGAGAACAGGCAUCUCCAUUCAGAGCUCCACGCUUGUUAGCACCAGAAAAUUCACACCAGGCGACAGUUGUGCAAAUGCAAUAACUACAUGAAAACUUUCAGGAAAAUAUGAAACCUGUUUCAUGCAGUCCCCAUCGGAGAAAGGCAUAAUGAGAACAACUAGUGUUGGAAAGCCUCCUCUCAGAGAUAAUCCUGUUUUGCAGCAGCAAGUUACCACAUUGUGAAUGAAGUAAGUAGAAGGGCAAAAAGCUGCAGCUCCUGCCUGUUCCGCUUAGAACGCUUCACACUGGAGAAGGACCCUGUGUGUACAGCUGACCUGGGAGAUGUGUCAGCCACACUUCCUCCUUCUCAGCGCCAGAAACCUCACUCUGGAGAGCCUUCUGAGGGCAGGGAAUACAGUAAAGUCUUCAGCUCUCCACCCCCACCCCCCUUGUUUAACGUUUUAUUUAAAAUAAUCAGCCUCUUUUUUUAACCUUAUCAAUAUAAGAGAAUUAACACUCAAGAAAGAGCCUACAUGAGUAGCCUUCAGGCAGAAGCUGGACCUUGUAUAGAAGGACCGCCACCAGAGGAGACACUCCAGGACUGCCCUGCGCAUGGGGAAGCCUGAAGGGGCAGUGUUGUACUUUGUGACUUGCUGGGGGACUUUGGGAGAGCUGUCGCACCACUGGCUCUUAGGGAAGAAGCCCUUCUGUGUUUGAUGGUCACCUCACAAUUGCUCAGCAUAAAGCAGCCCCUGUUCCCUGCUUGCAGUGCCCUGGAGGGUGAUGGCCCUGCACCCACUGGCAUGACAUCAUGCUGCUCUCCCAUGACUGAGUAGGGCAUGGACUUCACUCCUGCUCUGAGCAAGGGGCCUGAUGGGAUGGUUUCUGGGGGCCUUCUGGGUAAGGUUCCCAUUAUUCAUGGACAUUGUGAAGUCUGCAUUUGAUAUCAGUGAUGCCUUCAUGGAGCUGCUUCAAGUACUCAUAACAUGAUGGUUUUGUGCAUUCCUGUCAUUCAGCCCUUGUACUGGUUGACAGUGACUACAUCACCAAUUUACCUUUGAUAUUGCAGUCCUAUUUAGUGGAUGGAGUGAAUUGAGAACAUUGAAUUGAGAGGUGCUCCCAAAUUAGCCAUUGGGGCCCCAUAACACCUGAAAAAAGGCACAGCAGCAAGGCAUGGAGCAUCUGUGUCCAGCUGUGACUCAGUUUGCAUUUCUUCCCGAUGUCCCUGUGAAAUGAAAGGAUGGAAGCCUCUGUUCUGAAGCUUCUGACCUGGAGUUCUCCUGGGGAAGACAGUGUUUGGUCUGGAAGAAGCAAGAUGAUGGUCUCUGUUCCAGGGAAUACCUCCCUCCAACAGUACACCCAGUAUAAGUAUACAAUUUAAUGAUUUUUAAUUAAUGUAAAGAGUUCUGUAGCCAUUAUCUUACCCCAUUCCCAUUGCCCCAGAAAGCUCCUUUGGGUACUUUUAUAGUCAAAAUUCCCUCCCACCCCACCUCCCAACACCUGGCAAUCACUAAAUCUACUUUAUGUCUCCAUAUAGUUGCCUUUUCUGGAUAUUUCAGGUUCAUGGAAUCAUACAGUAUGUCGCCUUUUGUGUCUGGCUUCUAUCACUCAGCAUAAUGUUUUUGAGGUUCAUUCAUGUUAUAUCAUGUAUCAGUAUUUUAUUACAUUUUAUUGCUGAAUGAUAUUCUCUUGUGCAGAUAUACCAGAUUGUGUCCGUCACCAGUUGAUGGACUUUUGAAUUUUUUUCAGUUCUUGGCAAUUAUAAAUAAUGCUUCUAGGAAUAUUUGCUUACAAAUCUUUGUGUGGACAUAUGUUUUUAUUUCUGUUGGGUAAAUGCCUAGGAAUGGAAUUGCUGAGUCAUAUGAUAAUUUUAUGUUUAACUAUUUAGAAACUCCAAAGCCAUUUUCCAAAGUGACUGUGCCAUUAACUGUACAGUACAAUGGCAUUAGAUAAAUUCACACAGUUGUGCAACUGUCACUCCUACACAUCUCCAGAAAUUUUUCAUUAUCCUAAACUGAAACUCUCUACCCAUUAAGCAGUCAUCUUACUGGUGUUUUAAUCUACAUUUUUUUUGUGAGUAAUGAUGUUGGGCAUCUUUUCAUGUACUUAUUAACCAUCUCUUUAUCUUCUGUGAUGAUAAUUGGGUUGUCUUCUUAUCAUUGAAUCAUAAAGUUCUUCACAGAUUUUAUAUUCAGAAUCCGUAUGUAUAUACACAAGUAUUUUCUCUCAGUCUGUGGCUCAUCUUUUAAUUUUUUUUUUAAUUUUAUUUUUAUUUAUUUAUUUAUUUGGUUGCACCAGGUCUUAGUUGCGGAAGGUGGGCUCCUUAGUCGCGGCUCACCAGCUCCUCAGUUACGGCACGUGGGCUCCUUAGUUGCGGCAUGCGAACUCAUAGUUGCGGCAUGCAUGUGGGAUCUAGUUCCCCAACCAGGGAUUGAACUCGAGCCCCCUGCUCCCCCUGGGAGUGUGAAGUCUUAACCACUGCGCCACCAGGGAAGUCCCUUAGUUUUUUUUUUUUUUUUUUUUUGCGUUGGGCGGGCCUCUCACUGUUGUGGCCUCUCCCAUUGCGGAGCACAGGCUCCGGACGCACAGGCUCAGCGGCCAUGGCUCACGGGCUUACUUGCUCCGCGGCAUGUGGGAUCUUCCUGGACCGGGGCACGAACCCGUGUCCCCUGCAUCGGCAGGCGGACUCUCAACCACUGCACCACUAGGGAAGCCCCUUUAGUUUUCUUAAUGGUGCCUUUUGAAGAGCAAAAUUUUACAUUUGAAGUAUAAUUUAUUAGUUUUU